rnacentral:rRNA from 1 species
AACCGAGGGUUCGUGUCGGAAACUGCUGGACUAGAGGAAUGCAGAGGAAACUGGAAUUUCUGUUGUAGGGGUAAAAUCCGUAGAUAACAGAAGGAACACCAAAAGCGAAGGCAGGUUUCUGGGCAUUUCCUGACGCUGUGCGAUCGAAAGCGUGGGGAGCGAAAGGGAUUAGAUACCCCUGUAGUCCACGCCGUAAACGAUGGAUACUCGGUGUAGGUAAGUUCAAUCCUNAUCUGUGCCUAAGCUAACGCGAUAAGUAUCCCGCCUGGGGAGUACGGUCGCAAGACUAAAACUCAAAGGAAUAGACGGGGAUCCACACAAGCGGUGGAGCAUCUGGUUUAAUUCGAUAACAAGCGGAGAACCUUACCAGGACUUGACAUCCCGAGAAUUUUCUAGAAAUAGAAAAGUGCCUUUUUAAGGAAUUCGGUGACAGGUGUUGCAUGGUUGUCGUCAGCUCGUGCCUUGAGGUGUGCGGUUAAGUCCGUGAACGAGCGCAACCCUCGUCGUACGUUGUAUUUUUCGUGCGAGACUGCCCGUUUUACGCGGGAGGAAGGUGAGGAUGACGUCAAAUCAGCAUGACCCUUAUGUUCUGGGCGACACAGGUGCUACAAUGGUUGGUACAAAGGGUAGCCAAGUCGUAAGAUGGAGCCAAUCCCAAAAAACCAAUCUCAGUUCGGAUUGAGGUCUGCAACUCGACCUCAUGAAGCUGGAAUCGCUAGUAACCGUGAAUCAGCCAUGUCACGGUGAAUAUGUUCCUGGAUCUUGUACUCACCGCCCGUCAAGUCACGAAAGGUAGGGGCGCCCGAAGCGGUCUUAUCUCCUUAUGGGGAGGAUCACCACGGUGAAACUACUGAUUGGACUAAGUC